UACGGAGGAUGCGAGCGUUAUCCGGAUUUACUGGGUGUAAAGGGAGCGUAGACGGCAGAGCAAGUCCGGAGUGAAAGCCCGGGGCUCAACCCUGGGACUGCUCUGGAAACUGUAAAGCUGGAGUGCGGGAGGGGCAGGCGGAAUGCGUGGUGUAGCGGUGAAAUGCAUAGAUAUCACGCAGAACUCCGAUUGCGAAGGCAGCUUACUAAGCCAUAACUGACACUGAAGCACGAAAGCGUGGGGAUCAAACAGG
rnacentral:rRNA from 1 species